rnacentral:tRNA from 1 species
AAGGCUUUAUCUUAAUUAAUCUGAGUUGCAUUUAGAAGAUGUAGGGUAGAAUCCUGCAAGUCUUA